UUUGCUCUAUAAAACCCUCUUGCUGCUUCUCUCUUCUCUCUGCUGUGCAAUAACCUCAAGUAGGUGCAGAUCUUCAAGUGUGUGUGUGUGUGUGUGUGUGUGUGUGUCCAGAGAACAGAGGAAACUUCAUCAUGAUUAAAGUUCUAACGGCGUGUAUCGUGGUGCUGGUGCUGACCAUGCAUCUCUCAACACAGGUUGUUGCAAACACAUUAGUUACUACUACUACUUCAGCAAACUCCACGGCUGCAAAGGGUGAAGGAUUCACAGUGCUGCCCAGCGUCCUCAGCCUCAUCCUCCCCACCGGCCUGCUCGCGUCUCUGCUCCAAAACCUCCACUGCUGAACCUCUCACGCCGGGGGAUCCGGAGUAAAGAUGGACGGAGCCACACCUAAAGAGCGACGCUUUCCAAAUUCUUGAAUCGCGGUGGAACCCGAGAUCUCCCUUCGACGGAUUAAACGAGUCCUAAUUUCUCUCGCUUGCAGAAAAGAAAAAGUCUCUUCAGCGACUACAACAUGAAGCGCUUUGGAAAAGUUUCUUGUCGGUUCUUAUGACGCCCAGGAAGUCAAGCUGCGCAGCACUGAUUGAGGCAAAUCGAGAAUUGACCCGUUCACUCUACAUUUCUCCCUCGGAAGUUUUCUUUUCUCCUUUUUUUCGUCCUUACACCUUUAGGACUUUGUAACGAAUCAUUAAAUACCGUUUUACAUUCGAGAAUUUAAAUCCUAAAAAAUGUCAUUAAAUUGAAUGAAAUAUCCAGAUUGUUUUUGCAUGAAUCUUUACUGUUAUUAUAAUUGUAACAGUCAUCGAUAAUAAAAAAAUAAAUGUUAAAAUAA